CUCUGUUGCAAGAAGACAGUGUCGUUAACCAUAAGUUCCUGGCUAAACUGGGGAGCUGGCAAGAACCAAAGCCCCCCUCUCCCAAAGUGAAAUCCAAAAAGACCCACCACAAGAAAGCUUCCUUGGAUGUUCCAGCUGUGGAUGGCUUACGGAAUCAUUCUCCCCUCAGCAGCCGGACUAGGACCCCAAUUGCCUCCCCGAGACAAAGCAGAAAAUUCUAAUUACUGCUGGAUCCCAAGACAUAACAAG